GUAUUUGCCCGCCAGUGUGGGUAGCAGCUUUAUUCACAAGAGCCAAAGGGUGGGGGAACCCUGGUGGCCAUCAGUGGGUGAAUGGAUAAACAAAAUGUGGUGCAUCCGUGCAGUGGAAUAUUAUUCAGCCUCAAAAAGGAAGAAAAUUCUGACGCAUGCUACAUGGGCGAGCCCUGGGAAAUUAUGCCAACUGAAAUAAGCCAGAUACAGUUUCAGUUUUGCAAGAUGAAAAGAAUUCUAUGUAUGGAAGGUGAUGACUGCCCAGCACCUUGAAGGCACUUAAUGGCACAGAAAUGUACAGUUAAUAGUGAAGAUGGAGUCAUUUAGAAAGGCACUGGCAGGACCAGUUUGAAAGAACUGAAAUCCAGAAGGGGUGGCAUUCACACAAAGGUUGUGCACCAUCUCCAGGUGCUUAUGAUGUUAGCACAUCAGAGGUAUCUAAAGGACCAGCAUCGUUCCAGAAAUCACAAAGAUUUAAAAAACAAAAGAAUCUCAGCAAAAUCUUAAUGUUGACGAAGAUACCACCUUGCCUGCUUCAGCAAAGAAAGCUAAGCCUUGGAGGGAAUCUCAGAAGGGG
ensembl:lncRNA